AGGACGAACGCUGGCGGCGUGCUUAACACAUGCAAGUCGAGCGGAAAGGCCCUUCGGGGUACUCGAGCGGCGAACGGGUGAGUAACACGUGGGCAACCUGCCCUUAGCUCUGGGAUAGCUCCGGGAAACCGGAAUUAAUACCGGAUAUGACCUAGGCCGACAUCGGCCGUGGUGGAAAGUUUUUCGGCUAGGGAUGGACUCGCGGCCUAUCAGCUAGUUGGUGGGGUAAUGGCCUACCAAGGCGACGACGGGUAGCCGGCCUGAGAGGGCGACCGGCCACACUGGGACUGAGACACGGCCCAGACUCCUACGGGAGGCAGCAGUGGGGAAUCUUGCGCAAUGGGCGAAAGCCUGACGCAGCGACGCCGCGUGGGGGAUGAAGGCCUUCGGGUUGUAACCCCUUUCAGCAGGGACGAAGCGAAAGUGACGGUACCUGCAGAAGAAGCGCCGGCUAACUACGUGCCAGCAGCCGC
rnacentral:rRNA from 1 species